GGCCCUGACCGCAGAGAGGGAAAAGCGGGAGUCUCCACUUGGAAAGAAACCAGAAGUUGGUACCCGAAGACCUGAGGCCGGAAUUGGCAAAGUCUCAGAAAGGCAACAUGACGCUUACUGAGUGGGAGGUUUUGACGUAUCAAAUUGUCUUCGGUGUACGGCAAGAGAAAGAGAGAGAGAGAAAGCAUCUCCAACAGAGUCUUGAUGUCUCAGUCCACCCUCCGCCUUCAGCCAGGUCUGAGUCAUGGGUUCCUAAAGGAUUGUAUAGAGAGGCAGAAGUCGAUCUGAAGAGCGUAUUCCUAGAGCACCCUCUGGUGACAAACGUGCCACCAGAUACCUACAGAUGAGGUACAAUGACACCUUCGGAAAGUGAGCUGGCGUCCAAGCACCCGGGAUGGAGACGUCACAGCAGACACGCUCACACGGAGACCCGGCCCUCUGUCUUACCUGCCCACAGCUUUACUGUAUGAGCCACAGCCUGACACCCUGAUAAGCCUGCUCCAUGACUUCUUUAGUCUUUGCCAAUGGAGUUUACGCUUCCACAC